AAUAUUUUUCCUUAAGAAAUUACAAUCGCCAUUGAGAUAAUGUCCUCAUUUUUCAACGAUCCUUAAUUAAUUCCGAUCAAAUCGAUUUCCUUUAGUAAAGUAUCAAUCAAAAAAUCAGCGGGAAAUGACAUUUCAGGCUGAAUCUUAUCUACUAACGAAGAUUGAAAAGCACGAGAGUAUUAUUAUACAUCGCCCGGAUUUGAGCAACAAUCAAAUAUCCAAAGUUGCUGGUGAUGCUUUUAUGGACUCAAAUCAUUAACAACUCUUUAUUGUACACAGGUUAUUAGGUGUUGGUUCCUGCUUUUUUCAAUGAAGAUUGGUUGUUACGUUACGUCUUGUUUUGAUGGUAACAAAAUGUUGUGAUAUCUACACUUGCCUACACCUUGCUGCAUGUCAAAUUGGUCAACUAUUUUUUGAUUUAUUUAGAUACAUAUGGGAUUUAUAUUGAACAAGAAAAUGAAGAAGAAAGUAAAGCAAACACAAGGAAAAAAAGUCAAAGUAGUGUUUCAGUGUUAAUCAUUGGAGGAAAAAGGAUAAAUUAUCCGUCAAAUUGUUGAACGGUAACAUCAUUGAUCAUCAUCAGCAACUAAUCACUUCGUUCACUUGAGCUACUACAUUGGAUAGUUUCAUUUUAAAAGAUUAUUAUUGUUAUUACAUAUUACAUAUUGUAAAAUGUGAGGCAAAAACAAAUAAACAAGAUGCUGAUGGUGAUGGUGAUGAUGGUAAUGAUCGUUAUUAGUUUUAAAAUUUCACUUUCUCUAGUUUAAUGAUUUAUAGUCAACAGUUAACACAAAUAACUUGAAAUGGUGAAAAUUAUUUGGCACAUUUGAAACAUUUUUCAUAAAUCAAUACUUUCGCCAUUGAACGAGAAACAAAAAAUGAAAAUAUAGUUGAUCAUCCAUAAUCUUACCAUUACAAAUCACUAAUCAAUCAAUUGAACAACUGUAUACAAUAAAUUUGACAGAAGCCACUAGAAACCCAAAGACCUAAAUAAGAAAUUUGACCUUUUCUGUACUUCGGUACUAGCUAAUUGUUGAGUUAAGAUGUUAAUUGCAAUUAGUUGAGAUAUGAUACCAUUUGCAUUGCAACAAAUUGUAAACAAAUUACUGUUUGAUUCUUGUGUGAACCUUACAAGGCUCAUGAAUGUUUAACCCAAUCUUUAGUUAAUCAAUAUAUUAUCGAUUGUUAUUCAAUUGAAUGUACAAAAUCAAUUAA